GUGCUGUGUUCUCUGAAUUUCAGGAUUCCAAUCCCACUUGUGCUGUCAAACAGCAAGCUGGAUGCUUUAAGCCUUGUAGUGCUAAGGGUGUGCCCUCACAGCCUGCCUUUGCUCGUAAUCAUGCACCUGGAGGCUGCCGCUGCUGUGGUUUUUCGGUGGAGUCCACGUGCUUCUAUCUUUGCGACCUUGCACAGGUCAUCACUUUUUCACCUUUUGCAUUCUGCUGAUCUUUUUACGAGAGAGCUCCACCAUAGAAGGCAAACAGAAAGAGUUAGUCCACGGAAGUUCAUACUUCAGAGCCGAUGA
rnacentral:lncRNA from 1 species